GCAAAACGCGAAGAACCUUACCUACUCUUGACAUCUACAGAAGAACGCAGAGAUGUGUUUGUGCCUUCGGGAACUGUAAGACAGGUGCUGCAUGGCUGUCGUCAGCUCGUGUUGUGAAAUGUUGGGUUAAGUCCCGCAACGAGCGCAACCCUUAUCCUUAGUUGCCAGCACGUUUGGGUGGGAACUCUAGGGAGACUGCCGGUGAUAAACCGGAGGAAGGUGGGACGACGUCAAGUCAUCAUGGCCCUUACGAGUAGGGCUACACACGUGCUACAAUGGUAUGUACAGAGGGAGGCAAGCUGGCGACAGUGAGCGGAUCUUUUAAAGUCAUAUCGUAGUCCGGAUUGGAGUCUGCAACUCGACUCCAUGAAGUCGGAAUCGCUAGUAAUCGCAAAUCAGAAUGUUGCGGUGAAUACGUUCCCGGGUCUUGUACACACCG
rnacentral:rRNA from 1 species